rnacentral:rRNA from 1 species
GAUGAACGCUAGCUACAGGCUUAACACAUGCAAGUCGAGGGGUAACGAGAGGGAAGCUUGCUUUCCUUGUCGACGACCGGCGCACGGGUGAGUAACGCGUAUCCAACCUGCCCCCAACUAGGGAAUAACCUUGCGAAAGUAAGACUAAUACCCUAUAAUUUCCUCAGAUGUCAUCUGACGAGGAAUAAAGAUUUAUCGGUUGUGGAUGGGGAUGCGUCUGAUUAGCUUGUUGGCGGGGUAACGGCCCACCAAGGCAACGAUCAGUAGGGGUUCUGAGAGGAAGGUCCCCCACAUUGGAACUGUGACACGGUCCAAACUCCUACGGGAGGCAGCAGUGAGGAAUAUUGGUCAAUGGGCGGAAGCCUGAACCAGCCAAGUAGCGUGCAGGAUGACGGCCCUAUGGGUUGUAAACUGCUUUUGUACAGGAAUAAAGUUAGCCACGUGUGGUUAUUUGUAGGUACUGUAUGAAUAAGGACCGGCUAAUUCCGUGCCAGCCGCCGCCGUAA